rnacentral:rRNA from 1 species
GGGUUAGUAAUACAUAGAUAAUCUGUCCUCAACUUGGGAAUAACGGUUGGAAACGACCGCUAAUACCGAAUGUGGUAUGUUUAGGCAUCUAAAGCAUAUUAAAGAAGGGGAUCUUCGGACCUUUCGGUUGAGGGAGAGUCUAUGGGAUAUCAGCUUGUUGGUGGGGUAAUGGCCUACCAAGGCUUUGACGUCUAGGCGGAUUGAGAGAUUGACCGCCAACACUGGGACUGAGACACUGCCCAGACUUCUACGGAAGGCUGCAGUCGAGAAUCUUUCGCAAUGGACGAAAGUCUGACGAAGCGACGCCGCGUGUGUGAUGAAGGCUCUAGGGUUGUAAAGCACUUUCGCUUGGGAAUAAGAGAGAUUGGCUAAUAUCCAAUCGAUUUGAGCGUACCAGGUAAAGAAGCACCGGCUAACUCCGUGCCAGCAGCUGCGGUAAUACGGAGGGUGCUAGCGUUAAUCGGAUUUAUUGGGCGUAAAGGGCGUGUAGGCGGAAAGGAAAGUUAGAUGUUAAAUCUUGGGGCUCAACCCCAAGCCAGCAUCUAAUACUAUCUUUCUGGAGGGUAGAUGGAGAAAAGGGAAUUCCACGUGUAGCGGUGAAAUGCGUAGAUAUGUGGAAGAACACCAGUGGCGAAGGCGCUUUUCUAAUUUACAC